GGAGGGCAUCGUCAUGGUUAAUUUUAUGUAUCUACUGGCUGGGUCAUGGAACCCAAGUUUCCUAGAUAUUUGGUCAAAUAUCAUCCUCGAUGUUUCUGUGAAAGUAUCUUUCAGAUGAGGUUAACGUUUAGAUCAGUAGACCUUGAGAAAAGCACGCUGCCCUCCAUAAUGGGGGUAGGCUUCAUCCAGUCAGCUGAAGGCCUUAAGAGAAAAGAGACUGAUCUCUCUCCAAAAGAGGCAAAGACCGCCUCUGGACUCCAGCUGCAGCAUCAACUGUUCCCUGGGUUUCCAAGCCUAUGGACCUAUCCUGCGGGGUUUGGACUUGCCAUUCCUUAAACCCUUGAGGAUGGCGUGGUUUUACCACACAGAGCCUGUACUUCAGUGUCGCAGAAUCAGUUUUACCCUGGACUCCAAAUCUUGUCUUGUGAUCUAGGCAAGUUGGUCAACCUCCCUG
rnacentral:lncRNA from 1 species